rnacentral:misc_RNA from 1 species
AAGUCGUAACAAGGUUUCCGUAGGUGAACCUGCGGAAGGAUCAUUAGUGAUUUAACCAAAAAGUUGUUUUUAGUUCUUUUAUGUGUUUAUUCAAACAUGUAAUUUUACUUACUCAACCGACCACCAUUUGUGAACAUGAAACCAAAAUAACAAGAAGAAAUUUAUUUUUCUUUCUUGUUAGCAAAAAAAAAACAAAGAGUUUUAAUUUUAUUCCAUAACACAUUGUCUAAGCUAUUUCAUAGACUUAUAAUCUAUUAAAACAACUAUUAACAAUGGAUCCCUUGGCUCUUA